UACGGAGGGUGCUAGCGUUGUUCGGAAUUACUGGGCGUAAAGCGCGUGUAGGCGGCCAUUUAAGUCUGAUGUGAAAGCCCGGGGCUCACCCCCGGAAGUGCAUUGGAAACUGGGUGGCUAGAGUACCGGAGAGGAGGGUGGAAUUCCUGGUGUAGCGGUGAAAUGCGUAGAUAUCAGGAAGAACACCGGUGGCGAAGGCGGCCCUCUGGACGGAUACUGACGCUCAGACGCGAAAGCGUGGGGAGCAAACACG
rnacentral:rRNA from 1 species